rnacentral:rRNA from 1 species
UACGUAGGGUGCAGGCGUUAAUCGGAAUUACUGGGCGUAAAGCGUGCGCAGGCGGUUUCUUAAGUCAGAUGUGAAAGCCCCGGGCUUAACCUGGGAACUGCGUUUGAAACUGGGAGACUUGAGUGUGGCAGAGGGGGGUGGAAUUCCACGUGUAGCAGUGAAAUGCGUAGAUAUGUGGAGGAACACCAAUGGCGAAGGCAGCCCCCUGGGUCAACACUGACGCUCAUGCACGAAAGCGUGGGGAGCAAACAGGAUUAGAAACCCCAGUAGUCC